ensembl:lncRNA
CUUUUCUAGGGUUCGGGCCGUAGAGAGGCCUUGUAGGCACAGCCGCUGAGGCUUGGUCGGCUCUGAGGAGGGGCUCCUAUCCGUGUGGGAGCCCAGGGUUUAGCGCCGGUCGACCCGCGCCUUGGCCCCUCUCACCUCCCGGGCCGACGGUCCCUGAAUCCUUCAACAUGAGCGUGUUAUCCAUUUUAUACAUGAGGAAAGAAGUUAUAUAAUUUGCUAAAAGUCAUUUAGGUGAUAAAUUAUAAAGGUGGGAUUCUAAUUUAGCCUUCUUCCUUUUAUACCAAGGUUUCUUAACUUUAGCACUAUUUUCAUUUUGGGCCAGCUUAAUCUUUGUUGUGGGAAAUUCUGCUAUGCACUGUAGGAUGUUUAGCAGUAUUCCUGGCUGAGCUCCAGGGCAGGAGUCUAAGUAAAGAAAGGAGGCACCAGGAGCGCAAAAUUUAAGGCAUCACUUACUCUCAGGAUCUUUUAAGUGCUAACCCAACUUUGAAUCCUCACAACAUCUGAGAAAGUUCUCCCACACCAGCCUGUUGAUUUUAGGUCUUCAUUCAGUAUUGCCUGGUAACAGUAUGAGGACUAAAUCCCCUAGGCAUUUAGGUGUUCCUUGGGAGCUGAAGAGCAGUAAUGAGCAGGGACUUUUUGCCUAAUUUGUCUCUCUUCUCAGUAUAUAAACUCUUUGGCAAAAGUGACUGUUAAGAAAUGGCAUUCAUAAGUGCUAAGUAAAUACCUUCCAUGUGGUACAGAGCUUAGAAUCUUUAGGUGAUACCUUACAAAACAAGGAUAUCAGUUGCAUUGAAGUAGUGAAAACUUAGAGCAGAAAUGGUACAUUGAAUGUCCUCAGUCUUAAUUUGUCCUGGUGGUCUAGAACUUAACUGCUGGUAUUGAUCAGCUGGACUGUAGCUUGCAUGCUAAACACAGUCUAGGUAGUUCUCUAGAAUGGAGUCUUUAAAAAAUGAAGUAUGUGAUACAAACUUGAAUUUUAGGAGUACUGAGCAAUAGUGCCUAACAAUUAUUAAUAAUAUGCUAGGUUUGGAGUCUUAAGUAGUUAAACUUAUAUUUAACUUUCUGAUAAAGCAUUACUAUUUGACCUGUGAUAAUAUAAUUUUUUUCUUUUCUUUUUGUAUUGGUAGGAUUGGGGCUAGGUUACAGAAGUCCCUAAAAAGCUGGUAGAGUAGGCAGCUCUUGCGAUUAUAGGCAGUAGAGAUCCAUUAAAAAUUGUCUUUCAUUUCUAGACCCAAAUUUAAAGGGUUUAUGUGGUUAGUUCAGGCUCACUUGGAUAAUUCCUCCUCAUAAGUUAACUUUCUUAAAGUUAACCUAAUCAUGGGAGUGAAGUCCCAUUAUAUUUUCAGCCCCAAGGAUUAUACAGGCCGGUACACUAGGGAGCAGGGAUGUUGGGCCUUAGUUUUCUGCCUGUACAGGCAGUCCCCAUUGUGUGGCUGACAGUAAGUGAAGAAGUUGCCUCUGUUGUGUCAAUCCUCCUCAGUACAUUUAUCAGUGGUCUGCAAAUCGUGAGCUUUUGCAGCAAUGGUAAUAGAUUUCCCUUUGGGCUCCUAAGAGGAGUUUGGGCAGAAGUAGCUAGCAGGAAGUGGCCAAGUGAUGGAGCAGUGUCUGUAUUUGCCUCUUCAGUGCUAGGAGUGAUAUGGGUAAUGGUGGUUCAGAUGUGUUAUAUCAGUGAGCAAUGUAUCCCGUAAGUUCUUAUUUAUAUUUUAAAAUACACAGAUCUCUGUUACAUCUAAACAAGAAUACCACUUAAAAGACUUGUAGUGGAACAUAAAAGUUCUUAUUAGACAUGGAACUAUGUUUCUGCCAAUAACUCGACAUUUUGAGGACAGAUAGCAUCCCAUUUCCAAUUUGAGAUUGGGUACAAAAAUAUCCCUAGGGCUGAGAAUAGGCAUAGUAAAUUGCACCAACAAAAACCUUUUGUGGAUUUAUAGUGAAGGAAAAGUCUUCAUUGAGUGUGCAUGGAAAAAUGUGAUAUAAGCUCUUCAUGCUUUAGUACAGUGGAUGGGACCUCAUAUUUAUAGUAAUUGCUCUAUAUGAUUAAUUUUCAAUGCAGAUUCCAAAAAUGUUUUUGCACAUGAGUUACUUUUUUUUUUUUUUCCUGUUAUUUUCAUCUUUGGUUAGUUAGAAUCCUCUUCCCCCUUCUGUUCUAGUAGUGUUUCAUCAGUUUUUUUCCUCUUAUU